rnacentral:rRNA from 1 species
GACGUAGGGCGCGAGCGUUGUCCGGAUUUAUUGGGCGUAAAGAGCUCGUAGGCGGCUUGUCGCGUCGUUCGUGAAACCUGUGGCUACAACUACAGGCUUGCGGUCGAAUACGGGCAGGCUGGAGUUCGGUAGGGGAGACUGGAAUUCCGGUGUGAGCGGUGAAAUGACGCAGAUAUCAGGAGGAACACCGAUGGCGAAGGCAGGUCUCUGGGCAUUGAACUGACGUGAGGAGCGAAAGCAUGGGGAGCGAACAGG